rnacentral:rRNA from 1 species
AACGAACGCUGGCGGCAUGCCUAACACAUGCAAGUCGAACGAGACCUUCGGGUCUAGUGGCGCACGGGUGCGUAACGCGUUGGAACCUGCCCUUAGGUUCGGAAUAACUCCCCGAAAGGGGUGCGAAUACCGGCGAAUGUCUUCGGACCAAAGAUUUAUCGCCGUUGGAUGGGCCCGCGUUGGCUUAGCUAGUGGUUAGGGUAAAAGCCUACCAAGGCGACGAUCCGUAGCUGGUCAGAGAGGACGCGCAGCAACACUGGUCCUGAGACACGGGCGAGAAUCCUACGGGAGGGAGCAGUGGGGAAUAUUGGACAAUGGGCGAAAGUCUGAUAGAGCAACGCAGCGUGAGUGAUGAAGGCUUUAGGGUUGUAAAGCUAUUUUAACCGCGAUGAUAAUGACCGUAACGGGCGAAUAAGCUACGGCUAACUCCGUG